GCAGUAAAUGUGGAGCCGUAGCGAAAGCGAGUCUGAAUAGGGCGUUUAGUAUUUGGUCGUAGACCCGAAACCAGGUGAUCUACCCUUGGUCAGGUUGAAGUUCAGGUAACACUGAAUGGAGGACCGAACCGACUUACGUUGAAAAGUGAGCGGAUGAACUGAGGGUAGCGGAGAAAUUCCAAUCGAACCUGGAGAUAGCUGGUUCUCUCCGAAAUAGCUUUAGGGCUAGCCUCAAGUGAUGAUUAUUGGAGGUAGAGCACUGUUUGGACGAGGGGCCCCUCUCGGGUUACCGAAUUCAGACAAACUCCGAAUGCCAAUUAAUUUAACUUGGGAGUCAGAACAUGGGUGAUAAGGUCCGUGUUCGAAAGGGAAACAGCCCAGACCACCAGCUAAGGUCCCAAAAUAUAUGUUAAGUGGAAAAGGAUGUGGCGUUGCCCAGACAACUAGGAUGUUGGCUUAGAAGCAGCCAUCAUUUAAAGAGUGCGUAAUAGCUCACUAGUCGAGUGACACUGCGCCGAAAAUGUACCGGGGCUAAACAUAUUACCGAAGCUGUGGAUUGUCCUUUGGACAAUGGUAGGAGAGCGUUCUAAGGGCGUUGAAGCAUGAUCGUAAGGACAUGUGGAGCGCUUAGAAGUGAGAAUGCCGGUGUGAGUAGCGAAAGACGGGUGAGAAUCCCGUCCACCGAUUGACUAAGGUUUCCAGAGGAAGGCUCGUCCGCUCUGGGUUAGUCGGGUCCUAAGCUGAGGCCGACAGGCGUAGGCGAUGGAUAACAGGUUGAUAUUCCUGUACCACCUAUAAUCGUUUUAAUCGAUGGGGGGACGCAGUAGGAUAGGCGAAGCGUGCGAUUGGAUUGCACGUCUAAGCAGUAAGGCUGAGUAUUAGGCAAAUCCGGUACUCGUUAAGGCUGAGCUGUGAUGGGGAGAAGACAUUGUGUCUUCGAGUCGUUGAUUUCACACUGCCGAGAAAAGCCUCUAGAUAGAAAAUAGGUGCCCGUACCGCAAACCGACACAGGUAGUCAAGAUGAGAAUUCUAAGGUGAGCGAGCGAACUCUCGUUAAGGAACUCGGCAAAAUGACCCCGUAACUUCGGGAGAAGGGGUGCUCUUUAGGGUUAACGCCCAGAAGAGCCGCAGUGAAUAGGCCCAAGCGACUGUUUAUCAAAAACACAGGUCUCUGCUAAACCGUAAGGUGAUGUAUAGGGGCUGACGCCUGCCCGGUGCUGGAAGGUUAAGAGGAGUGGUUAGCUUCUGCGAAGCUACGAAUCGAAGCCCCAGUAAACGGCGGCCGUAACUAUAACGGUCCUAAGGUAGCGAAAUUCCUUGUCGGGUAAGUUCCGACCCGCACGAAAGGCGUAACGAUUUGGGCACUGUCUCAACGAGAGACUCGGUGAAAUCAUAGUACCUGUGAAGAUGCAGGUUACCCGCGACAGGACGGAAAGACCCCGUGGAGCUUUACUGUAGCCUGAUAUUGAAAUUCGGCACAGCUUGUACAGGAUAGGUAGGAGCCUUUGAAACGUGAGCGCUAGCUUACGUGGAGGCGCUGGUGGGAUACUACCCUAGCUGUGUUGGCUUUCUAACCCGCACCACUUAUCGUGGUGGGAGACAGUGUCA
rnacentral:rRNA from 1 species